GGGGAUGUAGCUCAGUGGUAGAGCACUUGCCUAGGUUGUGCAAGGCAGUAGGUUCAAUUCUCAGCACCA
rnacentral:tRNA from 1 species